UAGGGGUUUGAUUAUGGCUCAGGAUGAACGCUAGCGGUAUGCUUAACACAUGCAAGUCGUACGAGAUUCUUUGACUCUAGUGGCGGACGGGUGAGUAACGCGUGAGAAUUCGCCCAUAGGAGAGAAAUAACAGUAGGAAACCGCUGCUAAAGUCCCAUAUACCUUUUGGUGAAACAGAGUAAUCUGCCUAUGGAGAAGCUCGCGUCUGAUUAGCUAGUUGGUGGGGUAAAGGCCUACCAAGGCGAUGAUCAGUAGUUGGUCUGAGAGGAUGAUCAGCCACACUGGGACUGAGACACGGCCCAGACUCCUACGGGAGGCAGCAGUGAGGAAUUUUCCGCAAUGGACGGAAGUCUGACGCAGCAACGCCGCGUGAUCGAUGAAGCAUCUAGGAGUGUAAAGAUCUGUCGUGAAAAAGAAAAAUCUGGAUGUAAAUAAGUUCAGACUUGACGGUACCUUACAGAAAGCACCGGCUAACAUCGUGCCAGCCGCCGCGGUAAUACAAUCG
rnacentral:rRNA from 1 species